GCCCUUCGCGGCGCUCGAAGCCGGGCCAUGCUUGCCAUCCGAAGGAGCCUGACUAGGCUCUGGCCGCUCGUACACUGGCUCUUCGGGUUUGUACUCCUUUCUCAAGCAAUAGGACAGGAAGGGGAUUUACAUAGAGACUGACUUCCUGUAAAGACUAAAGAGGAGCCAUAAUGGCCCCAUCACUCACGAUUAGCGAGACAGCCUUUAUCCUGAGUCUCUCUACCGGGGCAGGGCCAAAAUUAUUCCUUACAACUUUAUCCUGAACUUUGACUUUACUAAAUGUCGAUCAAAUGCUCUCUUAUAGGUGACUUGGAAGUUAUUGCUGCUGAAAAUGAGCCCUGACAUGAAUAUAAGGGAGCUUGAAGUACUCAUGAUUCUUCUCCCAGCACAGUUCUAAGUUUCUGCCCUGCAACAACAAUCACUUCCCCCCCAGCACACACGUUCUUAUCUGAACUGCUGUUUAAGCUUUCCCUGGGCUUCCUUUGCUACUUGUUUCUUUCUCUUGUGAAAGAUAACAAAAUUAUGUGCCUUGACCACAUACUUGUUUCCAAGUAUCAAUACAAAUUCCUGAAAAAUCAACUAAAAAAGCAACUGUUACAAAUACCCACUGGCUCAUUUUCUGAUAUAUUUUAUUUAUAAUACUUAUUAAACUAUUACACCAAG